AACCAAUAUCGGGUGUGCUUACAUUUUAAGACUUUAUUACCGUACAAGACACAUUGCUGUUCAUCUCCUCAAAAUACUCCCCUCCCUCAUCUUAUCCCCUCAUUCUGCACUCUCCGAAGCAGCUCUGAAAGUCCUCUCUCACCAGUGUCUGAAGUUGUGCUCAAUGUGCCGGCUGGACUAAAACCAUUUCCCUUUUGUGGUUAUUUUGACUUUGGGGAAGGGCCAGAGUCAUACCAUAGCAGAUCUGGCCAGUGCGGUAGGCAAGGACGGACUGUCGCGUGUGAACGUGGGCCUUUCUAUCGCGUGGCACUCGGCAGCAGCACUCACUGCAAAGACACUCAGCAAAGAGGACUUCAGAGCUGUUCGGAAACUGGCAAGAACCACGGGAACUGUGGCUGCACGUGAGCAGAGCCAACAAGAAAGGCCGUGCAAGUUUGUGCGAGUUUGUACCGUCCCGGUGUGUCUGCCAGAGUGAGGCACUGUUUUCUUUCUCUGGAGAGAUGCAACGUGAGAAAAUUGUAAUUAUAACCAGGUGGGUGGCCAGUACUUCAGAGCACAAUGGAUUUUCACAGCCAGUUUGGAUCGGCAAAAUGUCUUUGUUUUGCAAACCCUCUUGGACUGAAUAAAAACUUAAAACGGAGACCAAGCACCAUUCCACAGCGGCCAGGAAGAAUGAAACUGCGACCAGCAGCCCCGGGGACUGCUCCUGGCCAGCAUAAGUGGCUGCAGUGGUUAUUUCCGCAGCAUCUCUGGGUUUUAGGUUUACUUCUUUCCUUCUGUCAAGGGCAAAGCUGCAAGCGCCCCCACGUACCUCCACACUCCUCUCCUGCCUGCAUCGGAGCAGAAGUGCUUUUGCAGGGAAGGUUUCGAGGCCAGAGGUCCUCCCAGUAGAUUUCUGGAGGUUUCUUCCUGGCCAGUGCUGAUGUAUAUCCCAUCUUUAGGCUGUAGCAGCAGCAUGGCUCACCUGGGAUGGCUGGCUUCUUGGUCCAGUUCCUGAAAGCAAAUAUUGAGACCAGAAUUGUGUGCAAAGCAUUUGUUCAGGAAGUGCUCCCAGGAGAAACAAUUAAAGGAACGGGGAAAGAAGCAGAGGGAGGGAAAGAAGCCAGGCCAGGGUGUGAGGCUGGCCAGGGCCCAGCCUCUGCCUGACGCGGAGGCGUUUGUCCCACCUCGCACACUGGCACCCGCAUAGGCAAUGCCACAACAGUCCUGCUUCCUCUGGGCAUGGGGGUGCAAAGCGGCCCGGGGACCCCUGAGCAGGCACAGCCACAAGAGCUCAGUGCGUGAAGCCCUGGGCUCAGCCCCCAGCGCUAAGGAAAAAAAAGAGAAAGAACCACAGAGCACAGAGGCUGAAGAUAACAGUGCAGAAUGGGGAAAGGGCCGAAGGUGUGCGGGGAGCCUGGCGCGUGUGCAGCGGCAGGACUUGGCCGGAGGCUCUGCAAGAAGCCCCGAGGGUGCUUUGCCCUGAUUCAGUGGGCUGUGGUCUAAUAUGUGAUUUCACUUAAGUGGGUUCCCUGGGAGCAUACAGGAAAGUGUGACAGGCAGAUCCAUUAAUGCUCCAAGAUGAGAAAAAUCUAACCUCUGAUAGGGAUGCGUGUUAUACUUGUAGGAACUCGAGAUAAGAUCUAGGCCAUCUGAAGCAGGCUUCUGUACACAUCGGGGCCAUUUCAGUCCUCACCACCCUAUAAAUCAUUUUCCCACUCACCUAUGCUGAAUCUGUUGGGAAAGUCUUAGUAAGUCUCAGAGGAUCCGCAGACUUUCUUUCCUGUUUGGCCUAUGAAGUCUAUAUCUAGUUGGAUAGCAGGGAUAUUUCAGAUCUAAUAAUGAAAACAAUUAAUAACUCCUUGGUGAUGACAGUGUAUCAGACUUUUAUUUAUUUAUUUAUUUAUUUUUUACCUCAACUUGUGAGAAUGGAUGUAACAGACUUUUAUAUGGUGGCACUUUUAUGCAUCUGUGAACAUACAUUUCUUUCUUUCUUUUUUUUUUACCGGUACCAGGGAUCGAACUCACGACCACGGGCUUGCAAGGCAGGUGCUUAUGCUGCUGAGCUAAAUCCCCAGCCCCCAGUACAUUUCUAUUUAUGUAGUCAACAGCUUUUCAUUUGGAUGAAAUUAACCGGAAUCACAGGGCAUGGUGGCACAUGCUUGUAAUCCCAGCACUUGGAGGCAGAGACAGGAGGAUCGCUGCAAGUUUGAGGCCUACAUGGGCUGCAAAGUGAAUUCAAAGCCAGCCUGCACUGCACAGCUAGACCCUAUCCAAAAAAAAAAAAAAAAAAGAAUAAUAAUAAUACUGUUGUAAAUAUCCUUCCACUAUAUGCUUAAAAUGACAUAUAUGACAGUGCUCUAGCCCACAGUGGGACGCACAGGAACAUGUCAGCAGCAUAUAAUGAGUAAUCAAACCCUUCCCCUCAUCAUUGCCCAUACUCAGGUGAGCCAGGUACUAAUCAGGUGAGCAAGGUGAGGGAGAAGACUCUUGGGCGCCACCAAGUGUCCAUCCUGGGAAAAUCUACUCUGAAUGAGUCUAAAAGCAUCAGCAGCUACCCAAGUUCUUCCUGCGUUUGAAAACUCGUCUGCUUUUGUAGCAUGAAGCUAAAAACAAGGCCAUGGCCCAAAAGUGAAUAAAAUGACUUCAGUAGCUAAGGAUAUUUUAAAAGAUUGUUUUAUCGAGGAGCUUUAGUUUUAUACCAAAGUUAAAGAGGUAAUUACCAAAUUAACUCAUAGGCAAUGAUCAAAAAAUUCACUGAAUGUUUAAAUUAAAAAUUUAAAGAUUAUGACAGCAAAGGACCCACUUGCCAUAUUCCCCCUCAAAAUACUUUUUUUGCAAACACACUCAUCCCAUUGUUCUUGCCACUUUCUGAAGCAGUUCUGAAAGUCCUGUUUCUUGAGUGUCUUUUCAUGGCUGCCUUGUGUCCUGAAUGGAGUAAAAACAUUUAUGGUGAUUUCUAUCACAUAAAAUGAUCACACUGUGUCCUCGCCCACCUUACUCAUCAGCUCUGGCACUGUGGAACUUCUGGCUCUUCCUGCAAAUCAAAAUGACCAUGAAAGGUCAGCGUUUCGAAUCAGUGCAGGCCACGGAGCAGCCACACCAGUACAACUAAAGACAAGAAAGAGAGGUUCCAGAACUGCUUUGGAACAUGGCAAGAACGAUGGGAUUCGCGUAUCUGAAAAAAGGGUAACUGUUUGAGGUGAAGGAGAGGGUUUUGUUUGUUCUUUUGGUCUUUUUUGUUUUUAUCGGUACCAGGGAUUGAACUCACGACCGCCUGCUUUCAAGGCAGGCACUUAUGCCGCUGAGCUAAACCCCCAGCCCCUAGGGAGAGGGUUUUAAGGGGAGGUUAGCAGAAAUGUAUAACACAUUUUUUGAAAAUUAACUACUCGCUGUCUUUUUCAAUCGCCCCGUGUGUACCCCUUGCCCCCCAAUGCCCACCUCCUCCAUCGUCACCACCCUCCACCACAGUGCAGCCCUCCACAACAUCACCCCCCCCCAAGUCCAACUUCACACUGAGAUUCACUCUCUGGAGUGGGAUGUAGCUCAGCGGUACAGCGCUUACCUGGCAUCGUGUGGGAAACCCUGGUUCAACCCCCAGUUCUGGAGCAGGGGGAGAAAGAAUUAAGAAGAAGGGAAAAAACCUCUUUUAGCACUGUACAGUCUGUGGACAAAUAUGCACAACAUAUGAUCACCACAAGUAUUUUCCCUACCCUAAAAAUCCUCUGUCCUCUGCCUGCUCCUUCCUCCUCCCUGCUAGGAAACACUGAUCUCCAGAGUUUUGCCUUCUCCAAACUGUCAUAUAAUUGCAAUUGUACAAUACUCAGCUUUUACAGAUUGGCUUCUUUCACUUAGAAAUAUGCCUUUAUGUUUCCUCCAUGCUUUUCAUGGCUUGAGAGUUUAUUCCCCUAGCACUCAACACUAUCUCACCUGCUGGGUGGACUGCAGCUUUUUUAUCCACUCACCUAUGGAAGGACAUCUUGGUGCCUCGUAAGCUUUGUCAAUUUAGAAUAAAGCUGUUAUAAAUACCCAGGUGUCAGUUUGUUUGUUUCUCUGUUGCAGGUUUCUUAUAUGGACAUAAGUGUUCAACUCCUUUGGAUAAAUACCGAGGAAUCCCAUUGCUCGGUUUUAUGGUAGGAGUGUGUUUGGUUUCAUAGGAGACUGCUGAACAGUCUUCCAGAAUAACGAUGCCAUUUUGCAUUCCCAGCGGCAAUGAAUGAGAGUCCCUGUUGCUUAACAUCCUUGCUGGCAUUGGGAGUUGUCACUGGAUCUUUUUUGUGUUUUGUUUUGAGAUGGGGUCUCACUAUGUUUUCUAAGCUGCUCUUGAGCUCACUAUGUAGCCUAGGCUCACCUCGAGCUUUCAGCAAUCCUCCUGCCUCAGCUUUCUAAGUGCUGGGAUUCCAGGUGUGCACCACCGCACCUGCCAAAUAGUCUGAAUCCUGGAGGUUCUAAUCGGUGUGGAGUGGGGUCUCAUUAUUAUUUAAUUAGCAUCCCUCUUAUGGCAUAGAAUGUGGACCACAUUUCCCUGUGUUUCCUUGCCAUGUCUGUCAAGAUCUUCAAGCCAUUUUUAAUCAGAUUUUUUUUUUUGUACCAGGGAUCAAACUCACAACUGCACGCUUGCCAGGCAGGCACUUACACCACUGAGCUAAAUCCCCAGAUUGUUUUCUUAUUGUUGGUUUUAAGAGCUCUUUGUAUAUUAUGAAUGAGAAUCCAUUUUGAGAUAUGUUUUUUUGCAAAUAUUUUAUUCCAGACUGUGGCUUGUCUUUCCAUUCUCUCAAGAGUGUCUUUCAUGGAGUAUAUUUUUUUAAAAAUUUAUUUUAGGGAGAAAAAAACUCCACAAAAUUUCAAAACAAGAUAAUAGGAGAGUAACAAUGAUUAAUACAUUACAUACUAUUAUCUUUAAAUUAGUUACUCAGACUUCAAGAUGCAGGCAUUUAAUUUUCAUGGAGUAGAUUUUUUUUUUUUUAAAGCCAUGUUGCCCUGAAAGAGAAAAACUGUACAAAAGAGCUUUUUUUUUUAAACUUCGUCCUUUUGAAACUGCCUGGCUCUGUAACUGCUUCAUGGCUUUGUGAUUACUUUUCUGACCCCUGUAACCCAUGAGUGAACAUGCAAGACGCCAGAUUCUACCACUGCACCAAGCUUCACAAACUGAUGAUCAUCCAUCUACUCUUGUAACCAAUGAUCUCUCACCUGCAAGCUGGUCACAAGAACUGCCAGGCUGCUGUGUCUCGCCUUUGUACCUUUUGCUCGUGCAUUAUAUAAAAGCCCUAAACCACUAGAGAUCAGGGCCUGAUACUCUGGGAAUGAUCCGGAUCCGUGCCUGAAAAUGUAAAUAAAUCUGCUUCCAAAUUCUG